GUCGACAUAUUCUUAAAGUCCACAAAGUGUACGGUUGUACGAGCCAAAUAAGAUCUGUCGACAGCUGCUGGCAAAUAAAUCAACAAACUUAGAAAUUUGCAGCUUGGUUGGGGCUGAUAACACACCCAAAACUGUUGAAACCGUUGACGAAUUACUCGAAUUACUUUUUACAGUAAGCCCUCUUCGAUCCAUGCUCAAUAAAUCUAGCAUAAAUUGAAAUAAAGUUGCGAACCAAA
rnacentral:sRNA from 1 species